rnacentral:rRNA from 1 species
AUGCACGCUGGCGGCGUGCCUAAUACAUGCAAGUCGAGCGAACAGACGAGGAGCUUGCUCCUCUGACGUUAGCGGCGGACGGGUGAGUAACACGUGGAUAACCUACCUAUAAGACUGGGAUAACUUCGGGAAACCGGAGCUAAUACCGGAUAAUAUAUUUAACCGCAUGGUUCAAUAGUGAAAGACGGUUUUGCUGGCACUUAUAGAUGGAUCCGCGCCGCAUUAGCUAGUUGGUAAGGUAACGGCUUACCAAGGAAACGAUGCGUAGCCGACCUGAGAGGGUGAUCGGCCACACUGGAACUGAGACACGGUCCAGACUCCUACGGGAGGCAGCAGUAGGGAAUCUUCCGCAAUGGGCGAAAGCCUGACGGAGCAACGCCGCGUGAGUGAUGAAGGUCUUCGGAUCGUAAAACUCUGUUAUUAGGGAAGAACAAAUGUGUAAGUAACUAUGCACGUCUUGACGGUACCUAAUCAGAAAGCCACGGCUAACUACGUG